UGAAAAACCAUUUGGAUUUGAUGCACUCUCUUCUCAUAGGCUGACACAGUCUCUUCUUUCCAAGUUUCAGGAAAAGCAAUUAUACAGGAUUGAUCAUCUUUUAGGGAGGAAUCUUAUUGAAAAUCUCACAGUUCUAAGGUUUUCGAAUCUAGUCUUUGAGCCAUUGUGGAGCCGUGCGUAUAUACAUAAUGUACAGGUCAUUUUAUCAGAGGAUUUGGCCACGCAGCCUGGAAGGUA